rnacentral:rRNA from 1 species
UACGGGGGGGGCAAGCGUUGUUCGGAAUUACUGGGCGUAAAGGGCUCGUAGGCGGCCAACUAAGUCAGACGUGAAAUCCCUCGGCUUAACCGGGGAACUGCGUCUGAUACUGGAUGGCUUGAGGUUGGGAGAGGGAUGCGGAAUUCCAGGUGUAGCGGUGAAAUGCGUAGAUAUCAGGAGGAACACCUGUGGCGAAAGCGGCUCACUGGACCACAACUGACGCUGAGGCGCGAAAGCUAGGGGAGCAAACAGG